ensembl:lncRNA
GUACUUACAACUGGUAUACCUGUAAGGCAAGAUGUUGCCGACAGACAUGGCAACUCUACUUCCAGCUCGGACUGUCUCUGUGACACAGGCGUGUGGUGGGCACAGAGCAGCCAAUACAGAGCCAUCGCUGGCUGCUCAAUAGACCUCUGUUGCCACUGGAUACUAGUUCACAAUUUCGUGUCCCCUUCCACCCUGCAAUGGUAUCAGAAGUCUGACAGCAUGCUCAAUGUACUACACUGAACAAAAAUACAAACGCAAUAUGUUAUGUGUUGGUCCCAUGUUUCAUGAGGUGAAAUAAAAGAUCC